AAAUGAAUUGACGGGGGCCCGCACAAGCGGAGGAACAUGUGGUUUAAUUCGAUGAUACGCGAGGAACCUUACCUGGACUUAAAUGUAGGUUGCAUAGAGUAGAGAUAUUCUUUUCUUCGGACUACUUACAAGGUGCUGCAUGGUUGUCGUCAGCUCGUGCCGUGAGGUGUCGGGUUAAGUCCCAUAACGAGCGCAACCCCUAUCUUUAGUUACCAGCACGUUACGGUGGGGACUCUAAAGAGACUGCCUGGGUAACCAGUGAGGAAGGUGGGGAUGACGUCAAAUCAGCACGGCCCUUACGUCCAGGGCUACACACGUGUUACAAUGGCUAGGACAAAGGGCAGCUACACAGCGAUGUGAUGCUAAUCUCCAAACCUAGUCUCAGUUCGGAUCGGAGUCUGCAACUCGACUCCGUGAAGCUGGAUUCGCUAGUAAUCGUAUAUCAGCCAUGAUACGGUGAAUACGUUCCCGGGCCUUGUACACACCGCCCGU
rnacentral:rRNA from 1 species